rnacentral:rRNA from 1 species
UGAAGAAUCUGCCCUCCACUUUGGGAUAACUCCGGGAAACCGGGGCUAAUACCGAAUAUUGAAACAUAAGUGGCAUCACUGAGUUUUGAAAGAAUUUCGGUGGAGGAUGACUUCGCGGCCUAUCAGCUUGUUGGUGAGGUAAUGGCUCACCAAGGCGACGACGGGUAGCCGGCCUGAGAGGGCGACCGGCCACACUGGGACUGAGACACGGCCCAGACUCCUACGGGAGGCAGCAGUGGGGAAUAUUGGGCAAUGGACUAAAGUCUGACCCAGCGACGCCGCGUGCGGGAUGAAGGCCUUCGGGUUGUAAACCGCUUUCAGCAGGGAAGAAGCGAAAGUGACGGUACCUGCAAAAGAAGCACCGGCUAACUAUGUGCCAGCAGCCGCGGUAAUACAUAGGGUGCAAGCGUUGUCCGGAAUUAUUGGGCGUAAAGAGCUCGUAGGUCGUUAAUUACGUCGGGUGUGAAAAUCUGGGGCUCAACCCCAGACCUGCACUCGAUACGGGUUAGCUAGAGUUUGGUAGGGGAGACUGGAAUUCCUGGUGUAGCGG